rfam:Ixodes scapularis strain Wikel colony gcontig_1108379118304, whole genome shotgun sequence.
GCAGUCGUGGUGAUGGACUAGAAAUCCAUUGGAGUCUCCCCGCACAGGUUCGAAUCCUGUCGACUGCG